rnacentral:rRNA from 1 species
UGGGGAAUUGUUCACAAUGGGCGCAAGCCUGAUGACGCAACGCCGCGUGGGGGAUGAAGGUCUUCGGAUCGUAAACCCCUGUCGAAUGGGACGAAAGACUCGCGAGUGAAUACUUCGUGAGAGUGACGGUACCGUUAAAGGAAGCCACGGCUAACUCUGUGCCAGCAGCCGCGGUAAUACAGAGGUGGCAAGCGUUGUUCGGAAUUACUGGGCGUAAAGGGCGCGUAGGCGGCCCUCUAAGUCAGACGUGAAAUCCCCCGGCUUAACCUGGGAACUGCGUCUGAUACUGGAGGGCUUGAGUAUGGGAGAGGGAUGUAGAAUUCCAGGUGUAGCGGUGAAAUGCGUAGAUAUCUGGAGGAAUACCGGUGGCGAAGGCGGCAUCCUGGACCAUUACUGACGCUGAGGCGCGAAAGCUAGGGGAGCAAACGGGAUUAGAUACCCAAGUAGUCCCUGAGCGGGCUGGCA